AACGCACGAGACCUGCGGACCUGCGGAGGGAUCAUUACAGAACAGGCACACCGUGUCGUGGCUCUGCCAACCCCGCGAACCUUAUACCUUGAUGUUGCCUCGGCGGGCCUCCCGUCGCAGGCCUAGCAAACAAAAACGCUCCGAUAAGCUCAGCGCUCCUUCUGAACUAUAAAACUUUUAAAACGAGUAAAAACUUUUAGCAACGGAUCUCU
rnacentral:misc_RNA from 1 species